rnacentral:lncRNA from 1 species
GAGUCGUGGCCGCUCCCUUCGAGGCAGCAGCGUCCUGUGAGGCGAGUGGCGCGUUCAGCUAGGCCCGAGGGACGCCGCGGGGGGUUCAGUCAGCAACCUCGAUCUCGGAGAAGCCGAGCGAAGUUUCCAGACGGCGCCGGCCGGUUGCGGCCGGUUGGUGCGUCGGCCGGCGCGCUCAGGGGGGCUCAGAAGUCGCCCGAGCCAAAGCGGGCUUUAGCAGGCGGGCCUCGGAAGCGGGGACGACGGACCCGGUCCCACCGCACCCCGGAACAAACGGAAACAGUCGCUCGGAAUUGCCAGACACUCCGCUUUUGUAGCGGAUCCCGCAUUUCCAGAAGGAAAGCGUAGAAGUCAAAACAACACUGCAAACCUCCUGGAGAAGACACCUUCACGGACAGACAAAACUGAACUUGAGGUUCCUCACAGUCCUCACUAUUUCUGAGCACUCACGAUACAAUUGCCUAAACUCAGGGUUCCUGCCGUGGCAGCUGCUGGGAUCCUGGAGAGAGUUCUUCUCAGCACUGCAAUCUGUGCUUUGUAUCUGCCUUUGUAAACACGAGGAAUAGUGCCACCCUGCCAUGGACAGCAUGCCCUGAAUCGCUUCUUCCUCUGUGCUCGUCGAGAAAGAAAAAAAAAAAAAAGGCAACUUUCAGACCUCAAGAGCAUUUAUGGACAGACCAUGGUUUUAAGCAGUUUAUUACCUGGGCUCUUAUCUGCCUUUCUCUUCUGCAAGCACCACUGCAUAGCAACUCUUCUAUCAGCUCUCAGUGAUACACUGCCUUGCCCUGACAUAAUAACUACCAACUACAGAGGACCAGAUUUACUGGGAAUUAGUGGAAACUAAGAAAUUAAAAAUGAAUUCGGUAAUAU